rnacentral:snoRNA from 1 species
CUUCAGUGAUGAUACGAUGACGAGUCGGAACAGGACUCCAUCUGGUUCUGAUGGUAACGGGUUCAGAUUCACGUUCUGUGGUCCUGCUCCUGUUCCCCAGGUCCAGUGGGUCCCUUUUGGUUGAAGACAUCGAGGCAUUUGUCUGAGAAGG